rnacentral:pre_miRNA from 1 species
CAUCAGUGAAUGCUUUGUAGGGGGUACUGUAAGUACGUACGAUUUUUUUAACGUAGUACGAACGGUACUCACUAUGAACGUUACACAGUUU